GAAAGGAGAGGGCGGCUUCCGGGAUCUGGCUGGCGGGCGCUUUGUCCGGCCUUCUCCACAGUAGGCUCUUUCUGUUAGUCUCUGCUGCUACUUCUUGGCUCUGGGAGGCCCAAGUGGCUCUGCAGCAGUCUCUGCCACCGUGUGACCUGCGGGUAUUGGGACAUCCCUAGCUGACGCCAGGACACCCGGGAAGCUGAGGAAUGGUGAGUGGACUGCGCCUGGCUUCCCGAAGUGGGGAAGAGGUCUGGUUGAAACCUGCUGGAACCAGUCAUCGGCUGCGGAACCUGCGGACCGAGUCGCCGCGCGCAGCCGGGCCUCAGUCCUCUUCUGCGCAGGGCCGGGCGGGGCAGGCAGCGGGACCCCUGCGUCCUGUCUGUACCUGUGGGCGCCACUUCCGCCGGCCGGAGCCCUCUCGGGAACCCCGCGCCUCCGCCACCCAGGUAGUGCGGUGACCACGGGAGGCUGAUCCGGGAGAGCCCCGACUCGGACUCUGUGGCUUUUGAGGAUGUGGCUGUGAACUUUACCCAGGAGGAAUGGGCUUUGCUAGAUUCUUCUCAGAAGAAUCUCUGCAGAGAAGUGAUGCGGGAAGCCUGCAUGAACCUGGCUUCUGUAGAAAUCAUAUGGUACAGAGACUGUGUGAAAGCAAAGAAGGUAGUCAGUAUGAUGGACAAGUUGUCAGCCAAAUUCCGAAUCUUGAUCUGAAUGAGAACAUUUCUACUGGAUAAAAACAAUGUGAAUGCAGUAUUUGUGGGAAAGUCUUUGUACGUCAUUCCCUUCUUAAUAGGCACAUCCUAGCUCACUCAGGAUACAAACCAUAUGGAAAGAAGCAACAUAAAUGUGAACAAUGUGGGAAAUUCUUCGUUUCUGUUCCAGGUGUUAGAAGACACAGGAUAAUGCACAGUGGAAAUCCAGUUAUAAAUGUACGAUAUGUAAGAAAGCAUUUUAUUUUCUCAAUUCAUUUGAAAGACAUCUGAUGUACCAAAUGUGAUAAAACCUUCAGCUGUUCCACUUCCCUUCAUGACCAUGGAAGCAUUCAUACUGGAGAGAGACCCUAUGAAUGUAAACAUUGUGGCAAAGCCUUUAGUCACUUGAGUUCCCUUUGUAACCAUAGAAAUACUCAUACUGGAGAGAAACCCUAUGAAUAUAAACAAUGUGACUAAGCCUUCAGUCGCCUCAGGUCCCUUCACCUCCACGAAAGAAUUCAUACUGGAGAAAAGCCCUAUGAAUGUAAGAGAUGCGGUAAAGGCUACACUCGUUCCAGUCACCUUACUCGCCAUGAAAGAAGUCAUGAUAUAGAGGCUGGGUGUAGUGACUCAGCCUACAAUCCCAGCACUUUGGGAGGCCAAGGUGUGUGUAUUGCUUGAGCCCAGGAGUUCAUAACCAGCCCGAAUUAAAACAAUGUGAAACAACCUGGGCA